rnacentral:piRNA from 1 species
UAAGUUUUGAAUCUAUUUUAU